rnacentral:rRNA from 1 species
AGAGCGAACGCUGGCGGCAGGCUUAACACAUGCAAGUCGAGCGGGCGUAGCAAUACGUCAGCGGCAGACGGGUGAGUAACGCGUGGGAACGUACCUUUUGGUUCGGAACAACCCAGGGAAACUUGGGCUAAUACCGGAUAAGCCCUUACGGGGAAAGAUUUAUCGCCGAAAGAUCGGCCCGCGUCUGAUUAGCUAGUUGGUGAGGUAAUGGCUCACCAAGGCGACGAUCAGUAGCUGGUCUGAGAGGAUGAUCAGCCACAUUGGGACUGAGACACGGCCCAAACUCCUACGGGAGGCAGCAGUGGGGAAUAUUGGACAAUGGGCGCAAGCCUGAUCCAGCCAUGCCGCGUGAGUGAUGAAGGCCCUAGGGUUGUAAACCUCUUUCAAUAGGGACGAAGCGUGAGUGACGGUACCUAUAGAAGAAGCACCGGCCAACUACGCGCCAGCAGCCGC